UUAGGCUACGCCCUGGGGCACAAAGGCGAGCCCCACGCAUGCCCCACCAGCUGCUGCCAGCCUGACUGGGAUUCCUGCUCCCUAUCGUUGCAAAUCUGUUGAACUCAGUCACGCUGAAGGUCUUCUCCAAACUGAAUGAUUCUAUGGUCCCAUGAAAUCACACUGCGAAGGAGCAGCCUGCUCACAAGCACCCAUUUACCAGCUCCGCCGUUGAAGCAGCCACUGCAACCCACCCUUGAAACCACCUCCAUCUUCAGUUCUGCAGCCAGCAGCCUUGCUUGAAAUGAUAGAAUUCUUUCAAUUGGAAAAGACCUCCAAAGUCAUGGAGUUGAAGUCAUCAAGCACCAAACCAUGUCCCUCAGCACCACAGCUUUUCAAUCCCUCCUGCAGUGGGCACUGCACCACUACUCCUGGGCAGCCUGGGCCAGGCCUCGACAACCCUCAAGGGGAAGAAAUUAUUCCUUAUGUCCAAUCUAAA